rnacentral:rRNA from 1 species
UACGUAGGGCGCAAGCGUUGUCCGGAAUUAUUGGGCGUAAAGAGCUCGUAGGCGGUCUGUCGCGUCUGUUGUGAAAACUCGAGGCUUAACUCCGGGCCUGCAGUGGGUACGGGCAGACUAGAGUGCGGUAGGGGAGACUGGAAUUCCUGGUGUAGCGGUGAAAUGCGCAGAUAUCAGGAGGAACACCGGUGGCGAAGGCGGGUCUCUGGGCCGUAACUGACGCUGAGGAGCGAAAGCGUGGGGAGCGAACAGG